UACGGAGGGUGCGAGCGUUGUCCGGAAUCACUGGGCGUAAAGGGCGCGUAGGCGGGCGGUCAAGUCUGUGGUGAAAUCCUUCGGCUCAACCGGAGAAUAGCUGGAGAUACUGGCCGUCUCGAGGGGGGUAGGGGCAUGUGGAACUUCCGGUGGAGCGGUGAAAUGCGUAGAUAUCGGAAGGAACGCCGGUGGCGAAAGCGACGUGCUGGACCCUUUCUGACGCUGAGGCGCGAAAGCCAGGGGAGCAAACGGG
rnacentral:rRNA from 1 species